rnacentral:sRNA from 1 species
UAAAAUAUUUUCAUUGGCUUUGCAAAUAGCAGAAAAGUUGUCAAACCAAGGGGGAAAACCUACUGCAAUAUUUCUGCCUCUUUAGAUUCACAGAAGUCUUCAGGAGCAAACACAGGCAAAGACAGACCACAUGCCAGUGGUACUGAUGGAGAUGAAAGUGAGGAAGAUCCACCUGAGCAUAAGUCAAGCAAACUGAAGAGGAGCCAUGAACUGGACAUCGAUGAAAACCCAGCUUCAGACUUUGAUGACAGUGGUUCUCUUCUAGGAUUCAAGUAUGGCUCAGGACAAAAAUAUGGUGGAAUCCCAAAUUUCAGUCAUCGGCAGGUCAGGUAUUUAGAGAAGAACGUGAAGCAUAAGUCUAAGUACCUGGACAUGCGCAGACAAAUAAAGAUGAAAAACAAACACAUCUUCUUUACCAAAGAGUCAGAAAAACCAUUUUUCAGGAAAAGCAAAACUCUGAGUAAGGUAGAAAAAUUCCUCACAUGGGUUAAUAAACCAAUGGAUGAAGAAGCAUCACAGGAAUUGUCUUCUCAUGACAAUGUGCAUGACG